rnacentral:rRNA from 1 species
AUUGAACGCUGGCGGCAGGCUUAACACAUGCAAGUCGAGCGGAGAUGAGGUGCUUGCACCUUAUCUUAGCGGCGGACGGGUGAGUAAUGCUUAGGAAUCUGCCUAUUAGUGGGGGACAACAUUCCGAAAGGAAUGCUAAUACCGCAUACGUCCUACGGGAGAAAGCAGGGGAUCUUCGGACCUUGCGCUAAUAGAUGAGCCUAAGUCGGAUUAGCUAGUUGGUGGGGUAAAGGCCUACCAAGACGACGAUCUGUAGCGGGUCUGAGAGGAUGAUCCGCAACACUGGGACUGAGACACGGCCCAGACUCCUACGGGAGGCAGCAGUGGGGAAUAUUGGACAAUGGGGGGAACCCUGAUCCAGCCAUGCCGCGUGUGUGAAGAAGGCCUUAUGGUUGUAAAGCACUUUAAGCGAGGAGGAGGCUACUGAGACUAAUACUCUUGGAUAGUGGACGUUACUCGCAGAAUAAGCACCGGCUAACUCUGUGCCAGCAGCCGCAGUAAGAC